rnacentral:misc_RNA from 1 species
GUGAAUCAUCGAAUUUUUGAACGCAAAUUGCACUCUCUUGGGAGAGUAUGGCGGUUUGAGGGUCAGCGUAUAAAAAAUCGACAUCGUUGCUGUUUGGCGGGGGCGUUCGUGGGAAAUUGGGUGAUCUUAAAUCUGUUGGUUGUAAGGGAGUUAAAAUUUUCUUAUUGGUUCCAUGAACGUUGUGAGGAUUUAUUGCUUUACAGGUUUAAGGG